CGAGACUAUGGGACAAAGGGGACUCGGGUAGCGGACGGACUGGUCGCAGACAAGAACGAGACCUGUUGUUCAUCCCUAUGAGAGGUGGGAGCCGCUAUCAUGAACCAGCUUAGCUAGCCAAGGAUGCUGUUGAGCUGACUAGGGAGAGGUCACAACGCUGCUGUAUGUAUGGAGUAAGGACAUAAAUGCUCAGUUCAUGUUACCUGAAAUAUGAUUUAUUUACUUUACACUAUACAAAGUAGUUUCAUCAACGAUUUAAAUAAAAAAAAAAAAAAAAAAAAUGCCCAUUCCAUUUCAUACAUUUGUAUUGAAAACUUCAUGUAAUUCUUUCAUGAAAAAAUCUGCAGUUAAAUACAUAACAUCUAGUUUUGAUACAAUACAUCUAGUGUCAUUUUAUGUGAAUGUAAGAUGCCAAUCUUCCAUCAUUUUCCUGAACCCAAACAGUUGUUGGCCAAAGUGGAGAGUUUGUUGUACUGAUGAAUGCCUGAAAGGACUACAAAUGGAUGCACACCAAAAGAUGCAUAACUGACACCCAGGAAUAUAAUAAAGGCAACCAAUCUACAGAACACACAUCAUCCGCAGCAGUCUGUGACUGCCCAACACAGCCACCAUAAACACUUCCACACACUUCAAGCAAUUAUAUAUAUAUAUAUAUAUAUAUAUAUAUAUAUAUAUAUAUAUAUAUAUAUAUAUAUAUAUAUAUAUAUAUAUAUAUAUAUAUAUAUAUAUAUAUAUAUAUAUAUAUAAUGAUUAGCUAUAAAAAGACAAUAUACAUUUACACUAUAAAAUUCAAAGUAACAAUUGGGUGCUUAUCACUAUUAGUUUUAAUAAGUCUUCUCACAGACAGACAUUUAAGAAAUGAUAAACUCCAAGUGAGAAACAAUCUGUACUAUAAGCUGUGAUGCUGUCAUAAUAUACACAAUUUUGGGAGCCCAGUACAUAGUCUAUUGGCACCAAGACUUGAGGAAUUCCAGCCAUCUCUGAAAUGUGUCACAUUGAAAUGUGCCUACAGCUUCAACACAAUAUCGUUUUUUCUUAGGAAAGUAACUUCACAUUUGAACCAAUGUCACAAAAUAGUAUACACUGAGAAAAUAAUUCAAUGACAUUUUUCAUAAGAAUCCAAUAAAUUAU